ensembl:snoRNA small nucleolar RNA U2-19
GGUCAGUGAUGAAAAUAGCCAAAUCUGCACAUCAGAAGACCGACCAGUCCACCUGAAACAUGAUCUCGCUAGUUCUGAGA